rnacentral:rRNA from 1 species
AUUGAACGCUGGCGGCAGGCCUAACACAUGCAAGUCGAGCGGAAGACGGGAGCUUGCUCCUUGAUUCAGCGGCGGACGGGUGAGUAAUGCCUAGGAAUCUGCCUGGUAGUGGGGGACAACGUUUCGAAAGGAACGCUAAUACCGCAUACGUCCUACGGGAGAAAGCAGGGGACCUUCGGGCCUUGCGCUAUCAGAUGAGCCUAGGUCGGAUUAGCUUGUUGGUGAGGUAAUGGCUCACCAAGGCGACGAUCCGUAACUGGUCUGAGAGGAUGAUCAGUCACACUGGAACUGAGACACGGUCCAGACUCCUACGGGAGGCAGCAGUGGGGAAUAUUGGACAAUGGGCGAAAGCCUGAUCCAGCCAUGCCGCGUGUGUGAAGAAGGUCUUCGGAUUGUAAAGCACUUUAAGUUGGGAGGAAGGGCAGUAAGCUAAUACCUUGCUGUUUUGACGUUACCGACAGUAUAAGCACCGGCUAACUCUGUGCCAGCCGCCGCAGUAA